CUAGACCAAAAUUUCCUCAUCUGCAAAAUGGAAAUAAUAGCAAACGCCUCAGAGGGUUGUGUGAGAAUUAAUAAGCUAAUGCAGGUAAAUAGCCUAGACUAGAACAUGUAGUAAGUGCUCAGGAAGGCUGGCCGUGAUUAUAAUCAUUAUUAGAGAAUUGUGAGAGUGCUAUGGAAGCACAGAGGAAAGAGGUCAAAAGCGAGCCCCUUUCUCGGAGGCAGCGUUCACAAUACUCUUGAAGAAUGAUUAGGAAGUGUUAAGAGAUACGGCUACCGCGAGUACCAAAUCGUGAUGAAAGGGACAUUGUCAUUUUUAGGAUUCUGAAUUUAUUUAUCCUUUACCUGAUGAGAGGUCGUCAUCGCUAAACGAUUCCAAGCAAGAAAUCAAGAUCAGAUUUGCCUUUUCGGACAACCGUUCUGCAACGACUGAUGCAAGUUCAGGGAGCGCUUCGCUACAUCUCCAUGGCGCAGCAUCCAGCCGGCGUCUCAAAGAGGUUGCGCAAACGCCCGCCGCCAUCAGCCUACAAAUCCCAGCAGGCAGCGCUCCCUGGGUCCCGCGUGCGCUCAGUGACCUUCGGCUGUCCGUGGGUAUACAAUAGGCAUCUCAGCAGUGCCCAGGAAGACUCCGCAGCUUUGCGUGUGGGUCCCGGGUCCAGGAAAUGCUAAAUCAGCGGCCUCUUCUGUAGUGGGCUCUGGGAGCUGCGCUUCUGGGCCACGCUUAGCCGACGGGAACGUAGAUAUCAUUUUAGUUUUUUAAGUAACAGCCGAAUGGAAAGCUUUCGGGCUCCCUUAGUGUUCGUCCACUUAGUAACCUCCUACAUUCCGCCUGGGGAACGUCUACGUCUGCAGCUCAGAUUGCUGAUCAUCUCCGUUCUGCAUAGUGCUGAUCAUCUCCAUUCUGCAUAGCCAGAUGUCUACUGAUAUCGCCUCUUAAUGGGCUCACCAGCAUCCCAAAAUGGACCUAUCCAAAACGGAACUGUUUAUUCCCCUUACCUCCGCCUUAAUCUGUCUCAUGUAGACGCUUGGCACUAACCAGACCUUUGAUUCCUCUGUCUUCUAUGUUCACUGCAGUCCUGUUGGUUUUAUCUGCCUACCUCUGCCCACCACUCUAGCCCAACUCUCUUUUAUCUCCUCCCUGAACAACUGUCCUUAACCUCCUUGACAGGUCUCCCGGCUUCUGCUCUUCUCCUCUCCCCACCGCAUUCACUGACCAAAGGAAGGAUCUUUUAAAAACGAAACAGGUCA
rnacentral:lncRNA from 1 species